UACGAAGGGUGCAAGCGUUACUCGGAAUUACUGGGCGUAAAGCGUGCGUAGGCGGUUUGUUAAGUCCGCUGUGAAAGCCCUGGGCUCAACCUGGGAAUUGCAGUGGAUACUGGCAAGCUAGAGUGCGGUAGAGGAUGGUGGAAUUCCCGGUGUAGCGGUGAAAUGCGUAGAUACUGGGAGGAACACCGGUGGCGAAGGCGGCUACCUGGACCGGAACUGACGCUGAGGCGCGAAAGCGUGGGUAGCAAACAGG
rnacentral:rRNA from 1 species